rnacentral:rRNA from 1 species
UACGGAGGGUGCAAGCGUUUAUCCGGAUUUACUGGGUUUAAAGGGUGUGUAGGCGGGCUUUUAAGUCAGUGGUGAAAUCUCCGGGCUCAACCUGGAAACUGCCAUUGAUACUAUUAGUCUUGAAUUUUGUUGAGGUAGGCGGAAUAAGUCAUGUAGCGGUGAAAUGCAUAGAUAUGACUUAGAACACCAAUUGCGAAGCAGCUUGCUAAAACAAAUAUUGACGCUGAGGCACGAAAGCGUGGGGAUCAAACAGGA